rnacentral:tRNA from 1 species
GCCUGAAUAGCUCAGUUGGUUAGAGCAUGGUGCUGAGAAUGCCAAGGUUGCAGGUUCAAUCCCCAUAUACGCCAGCUGCA